UACGGGGGGGGCAAGCGUUGUUCGGAAUUACUGGGCGUAAAGGGCUCGUAGGCGGCCAACUAAGUCAGACGUGAAAUCCCCAGGCUCAACCUGGGAACUGCGUCUGAUACUGGAUGGCUUGAAUUCGGGAGAGGGAUGCAGAAUUCCAGGUGUAGCGGUGAAAUGCGUAGAUAUCUGGAGGAACACCGAUGGCGAAGGCAGGUCUCUGGGCCAUAACUGACGCUGAGAAGCGAAAGCAUGGGGAGCGAACAGG
rnacentral:rRNA from 1 species